rnacentral:rRNA from 1 species
AUGGUUUGUUCUACAGGUGAACCAGGUGAACCUCAUACUCUAGAAGAGGCACUUGGUGAUGAAAAAUGGAAGAAAGCGAUGAAUGAAGAGUACAUAGCUUUGAAGAAAAAUAAGACAUGGCACUUAGUUCCUCCACAGCAAGGUAAAAAUUUAAUUGAUUGCAAGUGGGUAUUCAGGAUCAAGAGAAAAUCUAAUGGAACUAUUGAUCGUUACAAAGCUAGACUCGUUGCAAAAGGGUUUAAACAACGGUAUGGUAUUGACUAUGAGGAUACUUUUAGUCCAGUUGUUAAAGCUGCAACCAUCCGUCUUGUUUUGUCUAUUGUUGUUUCUAGGGGCUGGAGUCUAAGACAGUUAGAUGUUCAGAACGCGUUUCUUCACGGUGUUCUGGAAGAGGAAGUGUACAUGAAGCAACCUUCUGGGUUUGAAAGCAAAAAUUCCCCCUCUUAUGUGUGUAAACUGGACAAGGCACUCUAUGGAUUGAAGCAAGCACCAAGGGCAUGGUACUCUCGUCUCUGUCACAAAAUGCAAGCACUUGGUUUUAUUCCAUCCAAAUCUGACACUUCUUUGUUCAUUUACAACAAGUCCAACACAUGCAUCUUUGUUUUGAUAUAUGUUGAUGAUAUCAUUGUGACAAGCUCAUCAAAUGAAGCAAUCACAGGACUAUUGAAAGAUUUGAGUGCAGAUUUUGCUCUAAAGGACCUUGGUGACUUGCACUAUUUCCUUGGAAUUGAGGUGAAGAAACAUGCAAGUGGCCUUCAUCUCUCUCAGGAAAAGUAUGCAGCUGAUUUGGUAAAAAAGGCUGGGUUGCAGAGUUGUAAGCCCACACCUACUCCAUUAUCUAGCUCAGAAAAGCUAUCUCUCACAGAAGGUAAUCUCUUGAGUUCAGAAGAUAGCACAAAAUACAGAAGCUUGGUAGGGGCACUUCAGUAUAUUACUUUGACCAGACCUGAUAUAUCCUUUGCUGUUAACAAAGUGUGCCAAUUUCUCCAUGCACCUACUAAUGUCCACUUUACUGCUGCAAAACGCAUAGUGAGAUAUGUCAAAGGAACUAUGAACAUUGGUCUGGAUUUCAGCAGGUCAUCUUCAAAUCUUGUUAGUGCUUUUUCUGACUCAGAUUGGGCAGGGUGUCUGGAUGACAGACGCUCCACUGGAGGUUUUGCAAUCUUUUUUGGACCGAAUUUAAUAUCAUGGUGUGCUCGAAAACAGGCCACUGUUUCUAGAUCCAGUACAGAGGCAGAGUAUAAAGCACUGGCAAAUGCUACAGCUGAGAUUAUAUGGGUUCAGUCCAUGCUGAAAGAACUAGGCAUAAAGAACACACCAGCUCCAUGUCUGUGGUGUGAUAACCUUGGUGCAACCUAUCUAUCUGCCAAUCCAGUUUUUCAUGCAAGGACAAAACAUAUUGAAAUAGAUUUUCACUUUGUUCGCGAGAGGGUUGCUCAAAAACAAUUUGAUAUUCGUUUCAUCCACUCCAAAGAUCAGCUCGCAGAUGGAUUUACAAAGGCCUUGCCUGUGAGAAGCUUUGAAAAUUUUAAGCAUAAUCUCAACUUGAUGAAAUUGUGA